rnacentral:tRNA from 1 species
UGGUUUAUACUUUAAUUAAGAAGAUGUGGUUUGCAGCCAUUAAGUGAAAGAAUAUGAAUUUCUAAAUCAA